ACACUGUUGGUGAAGUGAUUAUCAUGCUUGCCUUCCGUAUGUGGUUCUUGGCGUAGACUUGAGAGCAAGCGGCUCGGGUUCGAUUCCCGAACGGCGUA